AGUGAACGCUGGCGGUAGGCCUAACACAUGCAAGUCGAACGGCAGCACAGUAAGAGCUUGCUCUUACGGGUGGCGAGUGGCGGACGGGUGAGGAAUACAUCGGAAUCUACUUUUUCGUGGGGGAUGACGUAGGGAAACUUACGCUAAUACCGCAUACGACCUACGGGUGAAAGCAGGGGAUCUUCGGACCUUGCGCGAUUGAAUUAGCCGUUGUCGGAUUAGCUAGUUGGCGGGGUAAAGGCCCACCAAGGCGACGAUCCGUAGCUGGUCUGAGAGGAUGAUCAGCCACACUGGAACUGAGACACGGUCCAGACUCCUACGGGAGGCAGCAGUGGGGAAUAUUGGACAAUGGGCGCAAGCCUGAUCCAGCCAUACCGCGUGGGUGAAGAAGGCCUUCGGGUUGUAAAGCCCUUUUGUUGGGAAAGAAAAGCAGCAGGUUAAUACCCCGCUGUUCUGACGGUACCCAAAGAAUAAGCACCGGCUAACUUCGUG
rnacentral:rRNA from 1 species